rnacentral:rRNA from 1 species
AUUGAACGCUGGCGGCAUGCCUUACACAUGCAAGUCGAACGGUAACGCGGGGCAACCUGGCGACGAGUGGCGAACGGGUGAGUAAUGCAUCGGAACGUGCCCAGAAGUGGGGGAUAGCCCGGCGAAAGCCGGAUUAAUACCGCAUGAGACCUGAGGGUGAAAGCGGGGGAUCGCAAGACCUCGCGCUUUUGGAGCGGCCGCUGUCAGAUUAGCUAGUUGGUGAGGUAAAGGCCUACCAAGGCGACGAUCUGUAGCUGGUCUGAGAGGACGACCAGCCACACUGGAACUGAGACACGGCCCAGACUCCUACGGGAGGCAGCAGUAGGGAAUUUUGGACAAUGGGCGCAAGCCUGAUCCAGCCAUGCCGCGUGCGGGAAGAAGGCCUUCGGGUUGUAAACCGCUUUUGUCAGGGAAGAAACGCUGUGGGCUAAUACCCUGGGGUAAUGACGGUACCUGAAGAAUAAGCACCGGCUAACUACGUG